rnacentral:rRNA from 1 species
UCCUUUUGUAGAUAAUUUAAGGUCUAGCCUGCCCACUGAAAUUUUAAAUGGCCGUGGUAUUUUGACCGUGCUAAGGUAGCAUAAUCAUUAGUUUUUUAAUUAAAAACUGGAAUGAAAGGUUGGAUGAGAAAAUAGCUGUCUCUAUUAAAUGUAAUUAGAAUUUUAUUUUUAAGUUAAAAAGCUUAAUUAUUAUUAAAAGACGAGAAGACCCUAUAGAGUUUGAUUGUUUAAUAAAAAUUAUAUUUUAGUAUUAAUUUAUUUAUUUUAUUAUAUAAUUUAAUUGGGGUGAUUGAAAAAUUUAAUUAACUUUUUUUAUUUAAGAACAUUAAUUUAUGAAUAAAUGAUCCAAUAUUUUUGAUUAUAAGAUAAAAUUACCUUAGGGAUAACAGCGUAAUUUUUUUAGAAAGUUCAUAUUAAAAAAAAAGAUUGCGACCUCGAUGUUGGAUUAAAAUAAAUUUUUGGUGUAGAAGCUAAAAUAUUAGGUCUGUUCGACCUUUAAAAUUUUACAUGAU